rnacentral:lncRNA from 1 species
CUGGCUGUUUUUUUGGUUUAUUGCAAUUGACAUGUUUGUUUGGUUGUUUGUUUUGGUGAAAUUUCAGUAGAUCUAGUGAUGUGGAGAGAUGCAUCAAGAUCAGCGUUUGUGUUCGGAAUCGGAUCUUUUCUCGUCAUAUCUUCUUCCUACACAAAAGAUUUCAAUUUUAGGCAUGCAAAUUAAGUUGUUGCAAAUGAUGAUUGAGUUUUUUUUUUUAUAAUUCACCAUCAUCGAUCCAUCCAUUGAUUCCAUUAAAUUGUUUGCAGCUUGAUCUCUACAUUUUCUUAUCUGUGUCUCUUGUAUCUGGCCACAAUCUUCCUCUACACCUCCAUCGCUAGAUGUGAUGGUAAUAAUGUAGAAGAUAGAUCUGCAGUUCUGACUGAAGAAGAUGCAACCCAACUUAUCUCCAAUCUCCUACCUUAUAUAAACGAUAUCUUAACCAAAACUAAAAUUCUGUUUUCUGGAGAUCCAGCAACUACCAUCAAGGUAUUCAAUGAAUGAAUAAAUGAAUGAUUUACUGUUGAUUUCUUCCAUUAAUUACCAGAUCAAUUGAAUUACCUACCUGUGCAGGCAGCAAUGCCUCUUUUUCUUCUCGCAAGAUAUGGAGGAAUCGUUCCAAUCUCGACCAUGUUCAAAUUGGGUGG